UUUUCUCCACUGACCUGUUCGAAUGUAUCACUGACCUGUUCAAAUGUAUCGUGCCUCGUUCUGUAUGCCUUCUCCUUCCAGCUGCGUGUCCAACAAAGUCUGCAUUGAAAUGAAAGAAAGCAUAAAAGCUCAAGAUGAAACCAAAAUGAAAUUGAAUUUUACUCAUUUCUACAACUGUGCUGACAGCUGAGCCAUUCCACACACCUUUGGGGCAAAGAAAUGCCGGAAGCCGCCGGGGCCAAGUUCAAAGACCGAACAUUCCUUCCAAGGCGACCAAAAGCACCCUGGAGGGCUGGCUCCUAGUUACAUAAGCCACAGUAUCCUCAUUGACUGAUGAACUCAUCUGGUGUUCCUAAGACCAACAUCUUCAGUCCCAUUUCACAAAGUCCAAAUCACAAAGGAGGAAACAGUAUUUGAUGAAUGCCAUAUUGAAGGAGACUUAGGAGGUGUGUCAUAACACCACCCAUCUAGAAGACCCAAGGAGAACUGAAUAUCCAGUAGCUGUCAUCAUUCAGUGGCCAAAGGCACCACAACGUUAGAUGUCUUCUGAUUUCUGAGUUGUAAUGUGUUCGUAUCAAGGAGGCUCUCCUUCCCUUUAUACCUCACAAUGGUCCAAAACAAGACCAGAUGCAAAAGAAAAAGAUUCAAAGUGAAGGCCUCUGUAAGACACAGUCAAAGUGCUAUUUAAGGAAAAGCCCAUAAUCAAAUGCUCCAUACCAUCUGUUUGAGAGAGUUUUUGAGACUGGGAUCACUGUCUGGAACCACUGGCCGCCCUCUGAAGGCUGGAGAGGUGGUGACAGCUGAACAAAUGAUGGAGCUGCGAGUCCAUGGGUUAGGUUACCUGAGCAUGGGAAUCCCCGUAUAGCCAAUGCCUUCCUGGGUAUUAAGUGUCAGGUAAACACAGCUCCUCAACCACCACUAUGUGAAUGUGUGUCAUCACCUGCUGGAAGCCGAGGCCAUGUGCUGUUUACAUGAUUUGGAGGACAGAAACUAUAUCUUUCUGGAGUAUUUCAGAUUCCAAGGUCUAACCCUGGACAGCAGGGUCACUGCAAUGUCUGGAGCUCGUCAAGAGUCUUGAUAGGGACAUGACCCCCUAAGACUCACCUUAUGCAGCCAAAUGCUGCAGGAACCAGUAAGGCUUGGGUUGCAGGCGCGCAGGUUGCCUUUCCGUGGUCACAGAAAGGUCUUAGGGUCUGGUCUUUUGUCUCAUAGUCUACUUUGUGGGUGGGAAAGCUAUCCUUUAAGCUAAAGCCUAUUGAAAGGGGAAAGGGUCCAGAGACAUCAAGCUGUAGAUCAGCCUCAUCUUGAAAGGUCUUAUGGGAACAGGAAAUAUAUCUAGAGUUUCAUUUCUGAUUCAGCUUUCUUUACCUACUAAAACUGAGAGAGAAAGCAGGGUGUAGCUAAGUGAUAGAAUACUUGCCUGGCAUGUGCAAAGGCCCUGGAUUCAAGUCCCAACACCACAGAGUAAUAGCACCAGUGAAGCCAAAGGCAAGUGACUGCUGACCAGAGGUUUGUCUUUCUGCUCUUUAACUUGGCCUUCUCACUGCUGGGACAAGGAAGUUGCUUGUUUUGGCCUAUUGUUUUGUUGUGUCUUUUUCUUAGGAGGAAGUUACCUUAUUUCCUGGUCCUGACCACUAGCUGGAGUCAACAUUUGGAUGGUGCUCCAUGCAGAUGACUCCUGCCAAGCAGAUCAAGUCUUCCUUGUGUGGUUAACAGUGGCAACCAUGAGUCGGGCAUGAUCUCAUGUGCAGGGGAUGUAGGGAGAGACAGGAGCUGGACUCUGAAACUACAAUUCUGAGUUCAAAUCCCAGGUUUGUUGUUUCCUGGCUAUAUGACCAUCAACAAGUUCCUUAGCUUCUCUGUGGUGCAAUUUCCUGGUUUUUAAAAGGAGUUAAAUGUAUUGCUCAAAAGUAGAUGACUUCAGAAGGCAUCUGUGGCAUAAAAUAGUCAUGUGACAUAUUGUGAGGUCUCUCUCUCUCUCUCUCUCUCUCUCUCUCUCUCUCUCUCUCUAUCUCUAUCUCUAUCUCUCUCUUUUUUGAGACAGGCUUUAUCUGUGUAGCCUUGGCUGUCCUGUAAUUCACUCUGUAGACUAGACUGGCCUUGAACUCACAGAGAUUGCCUGCCUCUACCUCCUGAGUGUUGGGAUUAAGGACAUUCACCAUCACCACCCAGCUCUGUUUCUUACUUUACAUGCAUGAUGAACUCAACAGCCAGAUUUUUUUUUUUAAAGUGUUGUAUAAUCCAGGAGGUGGUGGCGAACACCUUUAAUCCCAACACUGGAUUAAAGGCAGAGGCAGGUAGAUCUCUGAGUUAGAGGACACAGAGAAACCCUGCCUCAAAAAACAAAAAGUGUUGUAGUGUUGUACAUAUGAAAAUGUCACGAUGUAAUCCAUUACUGUGUGUCUUAGUUAGGGUUUUACUGCUGUGAACAGAUACCAUGACCAAUGCAAGUCUUACGAAAGACAACAUUUAAUUGGGGAUGUCUGACAGGUUCGGAGGUUCAAUCCAUUAUCAUCAAGGCAGGGACAUGACAGCAUCCAGGUAGGCAUGGUGCAGGAGGAGCUGAGAGUUCUGUAUCUUGGUAGGCUGCUAGAAGAAGAAUACUCACUUCCAGGUAGCUAGGAUGAGGGUCUUAAGCCCACGCCCACAGUGACACAUCUACUCCAACAAGGCCACACCUCUUAAUAGUGCCACUCCCUGGGCCAAGCAUAUACAAACUCAUCACAUUAUGUGUAAUUAAUUUAUGCUAAUGAAAUAUCAUGCCCAUC
ensembl:lincRNA